rnacentral:misc_RNA from 1 species
UUUCCGUAGGUGAACCUGCGGAAGGAUCAUUAAAGAGUUCAUGCCUUCAUGGGUCGAUCUCCUACCUUUGAAUAUUUAUACAUUAGUUGAUUUGGCAGGUCGUGGAAACAACAAGGGUACCGGAACUUGCGUGCAUGUAAGCGGAAACUAUCUCUGUUUUUUGUGAUGUAUGAGUACUAUAUAGUAGUUAUAACUUGUAAAAACGGAUCUCCUGGUUCCGGCAUCGAUGUAGAACGCAACAGAACGGAAGAGCACAUGUCUGAAAUCCAUACACCAUUU